GGUCUGGUGGUGUAGCGGUUAUCACGUGUCGUUCACAUUUGUGAGCAAAUUACCGACAAGGUCCCCGGUUCGAUCCCGGGCCAGAUCA